rnacentral:rRNA from 3 species
AGAGUUUGAUCCUGGCUCAGGAUGAACGCUGGCGGCGUGCCUAAUACAUGCAAGUCGAGCGAACGGACGAGAAGCUUGCUUCUCUGAUGUUAGCGGCGGACGGGUGAGUAACACGUGGAUAACCUACCUAUAAGACUGGGAUAACUUCGGGAAACCGGAGCUAAUACCGGAUAAUAUUUUGAACCGCAUGGUUCAAAAGUAAAAGACGGUCUUGCUGUCACUUAUAGAUGGAUCCGCGCUGCAUUAGCUAGUUGGUAAGGUAACGGCUUACCAAGGCAACGAUGCAUAGCCGACCUGAGAGGGUGAUCGGCCACACUGGAACUGAGACACGGUCCAGACUCCUACGGGAGGCAGCAGUAGGGAAUCUUCCGCAAUGGGCGAAAGCCUGACGGAGCAACGCCGCGUGAGUGAUGAAGGUCUUCGGAUCGUAAAACUCUGUUAUUAGGGAAGAACAUAUGUGUAAGUAACUGUGCACAUCUUGACGGUACCUAAUCAGAAAGCCACGGCUAACUACGUGCCAGCAGCCGCGGUAAUACGUAGGUGGCAAGCGUUAUCCGGAAUUAUUGGGCGUAAAGCGCGCGUAGGCGGUUUUUUAAGUCUGAUGUGAAAGCCCACGGCUCAACCGUGGAGGGUCAUUGGAAACUGGAAAACUUGAGUGCAGAAGAGGAAAGUGGAAUUCCAUGUGUAGCGGUGAAAUGCGCAGAGAUAUGGAGGAACACCAGUGGCGAAGGCGACUUUCUGGUCUGUAACUGACGCUGAUGUGCGAAAGCGUGGGGAUCAAACAGGAUUAGAUACCCUGGUAGUCCACGCCGUAAACGAUGAGUGCUAAGUGUUAGGGGGUUUCCGCCCCUUAGUGCUGCAGCUAACGCAUUAAGCACUCCGCCUGGGGAGUACGACCGCAAGGUUGAAACUCAAAGGAAUUGACGGGGACCCGCACAAGCGGUGGAGCAUGUGGUUUAAUUCGAAGCAACGCGAAGAACCUUACCAAAUCUUGACAUCCUUUGACAACUCUAGAGAUAGAGCCUUCCCCUUCGGGGGACAAAGUGACAGGUGGUGCAUGGUUGUCGUCAGCUCGUGUCGUGAGAUGUUGGGUUAAGUCCCGCAACGAGCGCAACCCUUAAGCU